ACAGGGUGAUAGAUGGGGUGAUCAAGGGCUGCUGGAGGGGGAGAGAGAGGAAACCUGAGCAGAACCAUGAAACUUAUCAAACAUAAUCGGAGAUUCAACAUACGAACUAAUACAAUAAAUUUUUUGAAAAAAUAAUGCAACACUACAGUCUGGCACCCCUGCUGGCAUUGGUUCCUCUCCAUUGGAGGGAAAAGAUAAAAAAAAAAAGUUUUGGUUGGGAGACCAUGCAGUUUUGCAGUUAUGUUGGUCCUUGGAAGAGACAGAAACAUAGCUCUCCUGAAUGGGACAGCAUCUAGAACUAUGCCUCUCCCACCUCCUGAAGGACUGUUUUGGCCACUGGACUCCUACUGGAAAACCGUUGGCGCCAUAUCUUACUAUUAUGCCUUGCCUGAGCAGUCACAAGACAAUGUUUAUCAGACUUUAAAAAAUGUAUGAAGGUUUAUUUAUAUGGUUAGUGUGGGAAAAUAGAGGAGAUGGACCACUGUCUAAAUUUCAGGAUGCUUUUCAGGUUCUAAAUCCUCUCUCAGAUGGUCCUGAUCCAAAGAAGACCAUAGGCUGUGACUUGAGGUCGGGAUACAUCUGUCAAAUUCCAGAUGCCUGCAAUGAGAUCCAUGUGAGUCAUUGGGAUGAGCCUAGAAAAACCCUUAGCUCUAAAGACAUCUUCCAAGAGAAGAAGACAAUACCGGGUGUGUCAAUGAAGUGAUGGACAAGAACAUACAUCUGCAAACCACAGACGCCACAGCACAACCCAGCCAUGAACGAAUUUACCCAGCUGGCAGAAAGCAAAAGUUCAAAUCAAGACCAAAAGCACCAAACAAAAUUAUUUUGUUUCAAAUGCAUAGUUCCAGACCUGAAGCUGUCCCCAAACUCUUCCCAGAUGUCCUAACCUUAGUUAAAUAUUUCAUUGUGGAGUCAUGCUGUGAGUGUUCUCUGGCUUGUUUAUUUGAGGCUCCAGGAGGAAAGAUGAAUUCCAGCAGCCUGGAAGGGUACAAUUGAAGAGGCUGAUGAGGCACUGAGCUGCUCCAGGACUUUCCAGUUUAGAUUUCACUGAAACAAAUGCAAGUUUUAGGGGAAAUUAAUAAGACUUAAGGAUACAUUCACAGUGAACAUAUUCCCAAAAGUAUUUAAAAUAUAUUACUCCUAUCCAUUUAAAUUAUAUUAUUCUUGUAAGGAGACAACCAAUGGGUGAGUUAUUAAAUACUUAUUUCUCUGGUACAUAUAUGGUCCAAAUACCCCACACAGUAACACAAAAAUGAGUUUAAAAUACAUUCCAUCUGUACCUUUAUCACUCAUCUGUACCUGAUCCAAAGAGUGGCAGAUCUUUCCAAAUGAGGACUAGUCAUUAAACCAGUGCAGCAUAUCCUUCAAAUAAAUAAGCACAUCUUAUUUCAGACAGUCCUCCUGCAAUUCCUUUGCGAUGAUCGUAUUUAAGUAAGAUUAAAAUCUUUCCAGCGCAAAUACAUUCUAAAAUUCUAUUCAGUUCACAAACUUGUAGUAAAACAAUGCUUUCAAUGUUUUACUCUUAGUAAGGAGGAGAAAGGAAAGGAUCUCAAAUUUAAUAUAUUGUUUUUAAUUGAUAUGUUUAUAUGUUUGUUUAUAUAUAUAUCUCAGAAAUAGUCUGUAUUAAGUAUUUCUAUAACAUCUAUCCCAGUUGCUGUUUUGGGUGGCCAUGUGGAACACUGGUUGCUGUUACUGGAAAUUAUUUCCUGAGCAUGCUUCCUUUCACCACAGUGCAAGAAUAUGCACAAAAGCAAAGUAAUGACUAAUGUGUAGAAUAUCUGCAAGUUUUCAGUGAGAUUCAGACUUAUGGGUCCUCAAAAAUAAUUGGACUGAAUUUCAGUUAACAAAUUUGGGGUUGUUUUUUUCCCACAACAAACUGUCCAAAUAAAGAGAGCUUUUUUCAUAUAGAAGCAGAUCUCAAGGUUUUUAGAAAGAGAUUGAAAGAUAAGCUAAAAAAGACUGAGUAUCUUGUUAUUUGGCUAAUCCACAGAACUUCAGAAGCUUCAUCAGAAAGCCUUUGCUAUUUGUUUA